rnacentral:rRNA from 1 species
UACGUAGGGUGCAAGCGUUGUCCGGAAUUAUUGGGCGUAAAGAGCUCGUAGGCGGCUUGUCGCGUCGGCUGUGAAAACCCGCGGCUCAACUGUGGGCGGGCAGCUGAUACGGGCAGGCUGGAGUUCGGUAGGGGAGACUGGAAUUCCUGGUGUAGCGGUGAAAUGCGCAGAUAUCAGGAGGAACACCGGUGGCGAAGGCGGGUCUCUGGACAGUUCCUGACGCUGAGGCACGAAGGUCAGGGGAGCAAACGGG